UCUCUUUUAAAACUGCUCCUGAAUUGCUUGAAAUAAAACUUGUUAAAGGUAUAUUUGAGAUACUGUGGGUCUUUGUGCUAUGACCCUAAUUAAAUGCCUAGUGUGCGUGAUCACCCAUACAACAGCACCCUCUUGCAACCCCCAUGACCCUUUUCCCUGAGCUCCCCACAUCCCCAAGACCCUGCCCUUACUCCUGAACCCCUUGCCCACUGCCCUGAGGGACCCAAGCGAUACUAGGUAAAUCUUCUAGUCAAAGACGCGUAUAGAGUGAGCCCUGAAUAUUUUGUAGAAUAGUGAUAGAGAUGCAGCCGUGUUAGCUUUGUAGUCUGUGUUGCAAUUGAAAUCUAUAUAUUUGAAAAUGUAGAAAACAGCAAGAAAGACACAGAUAAUUGGUAUGAGAUGACGGAUUAAUCGGGCAAUUAAUCACUAAUGAAUUGCCUUCAGUCACGUGAAGACGAUUGUCUUCAAUCGCAUGAUUCAUCACAUUUAAUUUUAACUACUUUACAGCCCUCCCCCACAGCAGAAAGGAAAGCAACUUGAAGGUGCUAGUUUCACCCUUGUUGAAAAUAAUUUUCAAAUCUAUUAGAAGCUGUCAAGCAAGCAAGCAAGAAAAGCAGAAGUGCUGACAGCAAUAUCCUUAGAUGUCCGGACAAGACUGGACCACAAACUUGAUAUCUGUACAAGCUGAACCCCAGCAAUCUGUCUCUGAAGGGUCUUGUGCAGCUGAGGGGUACUGUGCAGCUGAUAGGCCGGCAGAAAGGAAGUGCCUAAUAUAGCCACAUGCAGGCAUCGGAGAUAGGCAAAGAUCCCAGAUUCUAAAAGCAGAGAAACAAGCACAACAUGGAAUUGAGUCUCCUUCUACCGGUGCUGGCCGCUCUCGAGAUGUUCCCCAGCCUGGUGUCUCCUUCAGACCCUCCAUCAGCCCCCAAACUCUUUCUGCACCCCCGACACCAAGAGUUCAUCGAGGGCGACCGUCUCACCCUCCGGUGCUCAGCUCAGGGGGUCGAGGGGGUGACAAGGUACCAGUUCUUUGACGGAAGUGGGAAGCAGCUCUCCGA